AGAGUCUACGGGAGGCAGCAGUGAGGAAUAUUGGACAAUGGGCGCAAGCCUGAUCCAGCAAUACCGCGUGUGUGAAGAAGGCCUGAGGGUUGUAAAGCACUUUCAAUGGGGAGGAAAAAGGUAGUCUUAAUACGGCUGCCCUUGACAUUACCUAUAGAAGAAGCACCGGCUAACUCCGUGCCAGCAGCCGCGGUAAUACGGAGGGUGCGAGCGUUAAUCGGAAUUACUGGGCGUAAAGCGUGCGUAGGCGGCCUGUUAAGUCAGAUGUGAAAGCCCUGGGCUCAACCUGGGAACGGCAUUUGAAACUGGCAAGCUAGAGUUAGGUAGAGGGGAGUGGAAUUUCAGGUGUAGCGGUGAAAUGCGUAGAUAUCUGAAGGAACGG
rnacentral:rRNA from 1 species